CGUAUUGGCUAAUUCCUCAAUUGAUAUUAUUUUACAUGAUACUUAUUAUGUAGUUGCUCAUUUCCAUUAUGUUUUCAUAAUCAUUAGUUUUUUAAUUGAAAGCUGGAAUGAAAGGUUGAAUGAGAAAAUUACUGUCUCUUAAAAAUUUUAUUAAAACUUUAUUUUUAAGUCAAAAAGCUUAAAUAAUAUUUAAAGACGAGAAGACCCUUUAGAGUUUUAUAGUAAAGUUAAAUUUAAUAUUUUAGAAUUUAUAUUUUAAGUGAAUUUUUACUAUUUGGUUGGGGUGAUCGAAAAAUUAAAUAAACUUUUUCUUAUUAAACCAUUAAUUUAUGAUUAAUUGAUCCAUUAAUAGUGAUUAUAAGAAUAAAUUACCUAAGGGAUAACAGCGUUAUUUUUCUUGAGAGUUCAAAUCGAAAGAAAAGUUUGCGACCUCGAUGUUGGAUUAAAAUUAAAUUAUGGUGUAGCAGUUAUAACUUUAAGUCUGUUCGACUUUUAAAAUUUUACAUG
rnacentral:rRNA from 1 species